AUUGAACGCUGGCGGCAUGCCUUACACAUGCAAGUCGAACGGUAACGCGGGGCAACCUGGCGACGAGUGGCGAACGGGUGAGUAAUGUAUCGGAACGUGCCCAGUUGUGGGGGAUAACUGCUCGAAAGAGCAGCUAAUACCGCAUACGACCUGAGGGUGAAAGCGGGGAAUCGCAAGACCACGCGCAAUUGGAGCGGCCGAUAUCAGAUUAGGUAGUUGGUGAGGUAAAGGCUCACCAAGCCGACGAUCUGUAGCUGGUCUGAGAGGACGACCAGCCACACUGGGACUGAGACACGGCCCAGACUCCUACGUGAGGCAGCAGUGGGGAAUUUUGGACAAUGGACGCAAAUCUGAUCCAGCCGUGCCGCGUGCGGGAAGAAGGCCUUCGGGUUGUAAACCGCUUUUGUCAGGGAAGAAACGCUCUGGGUUAAUACCUCGGGGUAAUGACGGUACCUGAAGAAUAAGCACCGGCUAACUACGUGCCAGCAGCCGCCGUAAGAC
rnacentral:rRNA from 1 species